AUUGAACGCUGGCGGCGUGCCUAACACAUGCAAGUCGAGCGGCAGCGGGCCCGCAAGGGUGCCGGCGAGCGGCGGACGGGUGAGCAAUACAUAGGAAUCUGCCUCAGAGCGGGGGAUAGCCAGGGGAAACCCUGAUUAAUACCGCAUGAUGUCGAGAGACCAAAGUGGGGGACCGUAAGGCCUCACACUCUGAGAUGAGCCUAUGUCGGAUUAGCUAGUUGGCGGGGUAACGGCCCACCAAGGCGACGAUCCGUAGCUGGGCUGAGAGGACGAACAGCCACACGGGAACUGAGACACGGUCCGGACGCCGGCGGGAGGCAGCAGUGGGGAAUAUUGGACAAUGGGCGAAAGCCUGAUCCAGCGACGCCGCGUGGGUGAAGAAGGCCUUCGGGUUGUAAAGCCCUCUAAGCCGGGACGAAAAAAUCGGCGAUAACAUCGCCGGUCUUGACGGUACCGGAAGAAUAAGCACCGGCUAACUCUGUGCCAGCAGCCGCCGUAACAC
rnacentral:rRNA from 1 species